rnacentral:rRNA from 1 species
GGGGAAUAUUGCACAAUGGGCGAAAGCCUGAUGCAGCAACGCCGCGUGAGUGAUGAAGGUCUUCGGAUUGUAAAGCUCUGUCUUUUGGGACGAUAAUGACGGUACCAAAGGAGGAAGCCACGGCUAACUACGUGCCAGCAGCCGCGGUAAUACGUAGGUGGCGAGCGUUGUCCGGAUUUACUGGGCGUAAAGGGUGCGUAGGCGGAUGUUUAAGUGAGAUGUGAAAUACCCGGGCUUAACUUGGGUGCUGCAUUUCAAACUGGAUAUCUAGAGUGCAGGAGAGGAGAAUGGAAUUCCUAGUGUAGCGGUGAAAUGCGUAGAGAUUAGGAAGAACACCAGUGGCGAAGGCGAUUCUCUGGACUGUAACUGACGCUGAGGCACGAAAGCGUGGGUAGCAAACAGGAUUAGAUACCCUGGUAGUCCACGCCGUAAACGAUGAGUACUAGGUGUAGGAGGUAUCGACCCCUUCUGUGCCGCAGU